rnacentral:lncRNA from 1 species
UCUGUUAUCUUAAGAACUGGGCUGCGCUCGUGAGAACUCACUUUGUAGCCAUUUUUGGCAUCUUAGCUUCAAAUUAACAAUAGCUUCUUGUAAUUUAAUUUAGCAUUUAGUUGUUAUGUCUUGUUCUUCAUCUAUUUCUUCAUUUUCUCCUUCAAGCAUGAGUAGUUAAACCCAUUAGUUAGGGUCGUGGCUCAAUCCUAGUAUGGGUAAUUGAUGGGUGUUGCCAUCUAGGGUUUGAUUGACGAUGGUUGUUUGCUAUUUGGGUUGAUUUUAUGUUUUAAUCUAAGAAUUAGUGGUUGCAAACACUGAUUCUAGAUUUGUGGACUUGAUUCUUCUUGAGAAAGAGAGUCCAUGUCUCAAAAAUUGACCCAACAAGGAAUUGGGAUGCACUAAGGAGAAAUGAUAGUCCUAAUUAACGGGUUAAACCUUGAGAGGGUAAUCACCCUACUUGAAUCCUAGUUGCUUGAUCUAAUUUGCCUACCCAUUUGGUUUCGAGAGAGUUAAUAGGGCAAAAUCACUC